GUAAAGGAGCGUGCAAAAAGCAUUGUGGGAUACAGCGCACAUGCGCAUUAGGCGGAUCGGCUGCAUAUGCGCGUAUGCGUUGCACGUGAUUGGCUCCCGCGCUAGCCCGCCACGCCGCGCCGCCAUUUUUAAUUUUCUGCAAAGAUUUGAGCUGAGAUAUAUAGCUGAGCUGGCCGGCCUGAUCCUGAGCAACGAAUCUGAAUCUGUUCUGUUCCUGGUCCUGAUCCUCGAGCUGGGAUAUUGAUGACCAAUAAGUCAAUUCCAAGGGGAUCCGAGUAUGCCAUGGAUUACUGCUGAAGUCACACAGUGUGCAUGCUGAAACACUAAUCAGACGGAUGCUCUACAUGGACAUCAUAUACCCAUGUACGUUUGUAAGCUAUGUAAUCAUUCUUCUGGAUCAUUGAAGCGGUUUUCUGAACACUUUUCAGUCCAUAGAAAUGUGGUGAAUUUCGAUUUCCGUGUGGUGUUCCUGGCUGCAAUCGAACAUUCAGAAAUUAUUCAUCCUUCAAAACCCAUGUGCAUAGGGAUCAUCAACCAUUUUCAAGAAAAAAAGAUGCCCAGUUUUUCUGCGUUUCUACCUGGAAUUGUCCACUCUGUGCUGUAAAAUGUGAGGAAAUCCAUGACAUACUUUCUCAUCUUAGAGUUCAUAUCAAACACGGAGUUGAAAUACGCUGUCCUUUUGCCAAUUGCAAAAAACGUUUUUCAGUGAGGUCGUCUUUUGCGUCACAUAUAUCAAGAGUUCACAAUAAGUUAGACCAGAUUCAGUUAGACUCAACUUCAAGUGAAACUGGUACUGUGUUAACUGAAUCCGCCCAAGAAAAUAAUCAGGAGUUUCCUGGAAGACUGCACUCAAGUGACGAGGAAAGUGUGACAGAUGAUGAAGUAGAUGUAUCCGCUGACUCAUUCAAACACAGCUUAUCCUUGUUUUAUCUGAAGUUGGAGGCAAAAUUACUCCUGCCCAACUCUACAAUUCAGGAAAUAAUUGACACAGUUCAGGAUAUUCAUGCAUUAAGCCAACAAAAUUUGAUACCAAAAUUAAAAAAGAAACUUGAAGGAAUAGGAAUUACCGAUGAUGAGGUUACCAACGUUUUAACUUUAUUUAAAUCUGAGGAUUUGUUCAGUGCUUCAAAUUGUAAAGAAUUUCGAUCAGAGUCUACAAGAAAAUCACAUUUUAAAGCAGUUUUUGAUUAUGUUUCCCCAACUGAGAUAUAUUUAGGAGAAGAUCAGUUUGGCAAACAGCGAUUUUGCCAAUACAUUAAAAUUCAAGACACAC